CCACAUGCUUUUGUCAACAACUAAAUUGAUUAGAAUCGUGUUUAUUUCUGCUCGUGUUAGUCCACAUGUAUUUUCACUGGAGCCUGAUGUCUAUUGAGUUAAAAGCUUAGUGAAAAAAACCUAUGUUAUGCAGAAACCCUAGAUAGUAAUUGCCAACUAUGUGCCAAGGAUCUUUUCAUUUUAUAGAGAAUGCAAGGUCUGAAUCAAAAGAAAUACUCUUUGCAAUCUCAUAUGCUCAGGCAGACUCAGCAGCCGUAUAGUCAUAAUAAAGACAGAAGGGCCUUUUAAAAGAAUACUUUAAGCAAAAUUUCCAGCAUGGAUUAUUCUCUAGGGUAAAUUGUUCAGGCAUUGAAUUUUCCCAUUUCCCUAGGGCAGGUAAAGGAGUGAAUUUUCUCUGAAUAUCUUCUAGCUGGACAGUGUCCUAACAAUGUCCUUGGGGGAAAUGUUCUCUGAUUUAGAAGCAUGUAUUGUGCACUGGGCCAUCUGGGCUGCCUCCCCAUGAAUAAAAUCACCAAGAUGUGCUUGCCUCUUGAUCUU
rnacentral:lncRNA from 1 species